GCCUGGCCUUCUCGGGCGUUGUAGCAGCCUUAAUGCAAUGAGUGUGCAGAGACCGCAGCAGUGUGCGGAGAAAGGGAAUCAAGUCCUGGCUCAUUCUGCCGGGAGAUGUGUGUGUUGUGACGGUUGUCAGACAGCUCCAAGUGGUGCAGGGGAGGAAGGAUGCCCUGCUAAACCACGAAGGAGCAAAAAGGGAAAGGUACACAACAAGACCACUAGCAACAUUUCUAGUGCUAGACUAUUUCAGGGCUUUUGCUAAAAAGUGACAUUUAAACUUCCAUCUUCUAUGGACACUACCAAAGACUCCCAAGAGAGGCUGCACAUCCAAACUGCAGUGAGGGGGAGAGGUUCCCUUUAAAAACAGACACGGGCGCAUAGAAAAGGAUCUCGUCUUCGUGCAGGAGCCUGGAGCACCUCCGGAAUAACAGAUGGCUGCUGACACCCUGGCAGACAAGCGGCCCAAUGCUGCUGCAGUGAGGAUCAGCAUCUUCCACUCCUGAAUCUGGUGCCUCUCCCACUCCUGUGCAUUGCAGGUAUGUUCUCUCCCCAGUUUCAACUCUGGAUUUUCAUGUGCAGGAAGAGCAAAGAUGAAGUGUCUGGGGACAUCGUGCUCCUCCCAGGAGACACAAGAAAAUGUGUGUGGAGGCAGGAUCUGUUGAAGGGGGAAAAAGAAGAGUCGCAAGUUGUGCUUUGACUAGACAAAUGCAGAAAUAAGUUCUGGCUGAAAAUGCAGAAGCAAACAGCUGUGCUGGAGAAGAACAGCUGUCAAACACCCUGUUCAGUCUGGUCUACAGGCAUCCUGGCAGGACAGUGGGCCACUUGACUGUCUGGGACAAGAAGCAAUGAGCUGUUUCCUCACUGUUUUACUGCUCCGAGUGAAGGGAAAUUCUUGAUAAUGUUUGUCAAGACUUGAAUAAACAUCUUGCGCUCAUCAGUUAA